rnacentral:rRNA from 1 species
AGAAUCAACGCUGGCGGCGUGCCUAACACAUGCAAGUCGAACGAGAAAGUGGAGCAAUCCAUGAGUAAAGUGGCGCACGGGUGAGUAACACGUGACUAACCUACCCUUGAGUGGGGGAUAACCUAGAGAAAUCUGGGCUAAUACCGCAUAAUACCUACGGGUCAAAGGAGCAAUUCGCUUUAGGAGGGGGUCGCGGCCGAUUAGUUAGUUGGCGGGGUAAUGGCCCACCAAGACAGUGAUCGGUA